rnacentral:rRNA from 1 species
UGGGGAAUUUUGGACAAUGGACGAAAGUCUGAUCCAGCCAUGCCGCGUGCGGGAAGAAGGCCUUCGGGUUGUAAACCGCUUUUGUCAGGGAAGAAAUCCUUUGAGCUAAUACCUCGGGGGAUGACGGUACCUGAAGAAUAAGCACCGGCUAACUACGUGCCAGCAGCCGCGGUAAUACGUAGGGUGCAAGCGUUAAUCGGAAUUACUGGGCGUAAAGCGUGCGCAGGCGGUUAUGUAAGACAGAGGUGAAAUCCCCGGGCUCAACCUGGGAACUGCCUUUGUGACUGCAUAGCUUGAGUGCGGCAGAGGGGGAUGGAAUUCCGCGUGUAGCAGUGAAAUGCGUAGAUAUGCGGAGGAACACCGAUGGCGAAGGCAAUCCCCUGGGCCUGCACUGACGCUCAUGCACGAAAGCGUGGGGAGCAAACAGGAUUAGAUACCCUGGUAGUCCACGCCCUAAACGAUGUCAACUGGUUGUUGGGAAGGUUCCUUCUCAGUAACGUAGCUAACGCGUGAAGUUGACCGCCUGGGGAGUACGGCCGCAAGGUUG